GCAGGCCUAAUACAUGCAAGGCGGGCGGUGUCUUCGGACAUAGUGGCGCACGGGUGCGUAACACGUAUGCAACCUACCUUACAUUGGGGGAUAGCCUUUCGAAAGGGAGAUUAAUACCGCAUAAGACAGUAGCUGGGCAUCCAGCAGCUGUUAAAGAUUUAUCGAUGUAAGAUGGGCAUGCGUCCAAUUAGUUAGUUGGCGAGGUAACGGCUCACCAAGACUUUGAUUGGUAGGGGAACUGAGAGGUCAAUCCCCCACACUGGCACUGAGAUACGGGCCAGACUCCUACGGGAGGCAGCAGUAGGGAAUAUUGGGCAAUGGACGCAAGUCUGACCCAGCCAUGCCGCGUGCAGGAUGAAGGCGUUAUGCGUUGUAAACUGCUUUUAUACAGGAAGAAACGACUCUUGCGAGAGGCAUUGACGGUACUGUAUGAAUAAGCACCGGCUAACUCCGUGCCAGCAGCCGCGGUAAUACGGAGGGUGCAAGCGUUGUCCGGAUUUAUUGGGUUUAAAGGGUGCGCAGGUGGUUUAUUAAGUCAGUGGUGAAAGACGGUCGCUCAACGAUUGCAGUGCCAUUGAAACUGGUAGACUUGAGUAAAGUAGAGGUGGGCGGAAUUGAUAGUGUAGCGGUGAAAUGCAUAGAUAUUAUCAAGAACUCCAAUUGCGUAGGCAGCUCACUUGGCUUUUACUGACACUCAUGCACGAAAGUGUGGGUAUCAAACAGGAUUAGAUACCCUGGUAGUCCACACUGUAAACGAUGAUAACUAGGUGUCGGCCGAAUCUGGUCGGUGCCACAGCGAAAGCGUUAAG
rnacentral:rRNA from 1 species